rnacentral:rRNA from 1 species
CGCGGCCUAUCAGCUUGUUGGUGAGGUAACGGCUCACCAAGGCUCAGACGGGUAGCUGGUCUGAGAGGACGAUCAGCCACACUGGGACUGAGACACGGCCCAGACUCCUACGGGAGGCAGCAGCAGGGAAUAUUGCACAAUGGGCGAAAGCCUGAUGCAGCGACGCCGCGUGGGGGAUGAAUGCCUUCGGGUUGUAAACCCCUUUCGGGAGGGACGAAGCGAAAGUGACGGUACCUUCAGAAGAAGCCCCGGCCAACUACGUGCCAGCAGCCGCGGUAAUACGUAGGGGGCGAGCGUUGUCCGGAUUUAUUGGGCGUAAAGAGCUCGUAGGCGGCUCAGCAAGUCGGCCGUGAAAGCCCAGGGCUCAACCCUGGGAUGCCGGUCGAAACUGCUGUGGCUAGGGUCCGGUAGAGGAGAGUGGAAUUCCCGGUGUAGCGGUGAAAUGCGCAGAUAUCGGGAGGAGCACCAGUAGCGAAGGCGGCUCUCUGGGCCGGUACCGACGCUGAGGAGCGAAAGCUAGGGGAGCAAACAGGAUUAGAUACCCUGGUAGUCCUAGCCGUAAACGAUGGACACUAGGUGUGGCGGAUUCAUUGACAUCUGCCGUGCCGAAGCUAACGCAUUAAGUGCCCCGCCUGGGGAGUACGG